AAGCAUAUAAUUAGGCGGAGGAAAAGAAACUAACCAGGAUUCCCCCAGUAAGGGCGACUGAAGCGGGAAGAGCUCGUAGUGUGAAUCGGUUCGCCGAAUUGUGGUUCGUUUGCGUUACUGGCCGGGCCAAGUCCCUUGGAACAGGGCAGCCGAGAGGGUGAGACUCCCGUCCGCCCGGCCUUUGGAGCGAGCGAGAACGAGUCGAGUUGUUUGGGAUUGCAGCUCGAAGUGGGUGGUAAAUUCCAUCUAAGGCUAAAUAUUGGUGGGAGACCGAUAGCGUACAAGUACCGUGAGGGAAAGAUGCAAAGAACUUUGAAAAGAGAGUUAAAGAGUACCUGAAAUUGCUGAAAAGGAAGCGAAGGAAACCAGUGCCUUGCUUGGUCAUACUUCCCCAAUCGCUUGCGGUUGGGGCGCUGUGGCCGGCACGAGUCGGGCUUGGUUGGGACUGCCGGAAGGGCGCACGGGGAGUUGACCCGUGUUGCUGGCGGCGGUUGCGACUGAGGCUGACGAAAUGGUUUUCUUUUCCCCGUCUAGAAACACGGACCAAGGAGUCUAACAUAUGUGCGAGUACAGGGGUGGCAAACCCCCGUGCGCAAUGAAAGUGACAGUGGUUGCGACCCAAUCCGCCGGCCUCAAUCCCUCGGGAGAACGGUCUGAGUGUGAGCAUACAUGUUGGGACCCGAAAGAUGGUGAACUAUGCCUGAAUAGGGUGAAGCCAGGGGAAACUCUGGUGGAGGCUCGUAGCGAUUGUGACGUGCAAAUCCAUCGUCAAAUUUGGGUAUAGGGGCGAAAGACUAAUCGAACCAUCUAGUAGCUGGUUCCCUCCGAAAUUUCCCUCAGGAUAGCUGCGAUCGAUUUUCUCAAUUUUAUCAGGUAAAGC
rnacentral:rRNA from 1 species